GUCACAUCAUGAUGCACUACAUUCUAAUGCAUGGGACUCCUGUCCCUGCUUCCAAAAAUACCAUCUUAUCUCAUGUGGCUUCUAUGAUCAUAAUUCUAUGCAGUUAACGUUGUUUUUCAUACCUUGCUAUUAAGACUAACCAUACCAUCAGGUUACAUAGUCUGCUUUAAUUAUUACUCAUGACAAUCCAACUUCUGUUGUAGGUAGAGCAUGUUGAGCAUGUCUAUUAUACCAAAAUUGUGC